rnacentral:misc_RNA from 1 species
AACGCACCUUGCACCUUUUGGUAUUCCGAAAGGUAUGCCUGUUUGAGUGUCUUAAACCUCUCACCUCCUUACGGUUUUGUUAUCGUACUGAGUGUGGAUUUGGGCGCCUGCCUGGUGAACAACCGUAUGGCUCGCCUUAAACGUCUUAGUGGAUCAAGCUUGUUGGCUUGGGCGUAAUAAGUUAUUCGUCUAAACUGAUGGGUUUGACUGCUCACAACGCUAGUCUUUUGGCUUCGGCUGAAGACGCACAUUUUUAAGAUUAGACCUCAAAUCAGGUAGGACUACCCGCUGAACUUAA